rnacentral:rRNA from 1 species
CACCAGCCCCUCGAGUGGUGGGGAUGAUUAUUUGGCCUAAAGCGUCCGUAGCCGGCCGGGUAAGUUUCCCGUUAAAUCCAACGUCUCAAGCGUUGGACUGCGGGAAAUACUGCCUGGCUAGAGAGUGGGAGAGGUCAGCGGUAUUCUGGGGGUAGGGGCGAAAUCCUUUGAUCCCCGGAGGACCACCAGUGGCGAAGGCUGCUGACUAGAACACGUCUGACGGUCAGGGACGAAAGCUGGGGUAGCGAACCGGAUUAGAUACCCGGGUAGUCCCAGCCGUAAACGAUGCAUGCUAGGUGUUGGGUUGGCCACGAGCCACCCCAGUGCCGCAGGGGAGCCGUUAAGCAUGCCGCCUGGGAAGUACGAUCGCAAGAUUGAAACUUAAAGGAAUUGGCGGGGGGGCACCACCAGGCGUGAAGCCUGCGGUUU